rnacentral:rRNA from 1 species
UACGUAGGGUGCAAGCGUUGUCCGGAAUUAUUGGGCGUAAAGAGCUCGUAGGCGGUUUGUUGCGUCGGCUGUGAAAUCCCGAGGCUCAACCUCGGGUCUGCAGUCGAUACGAGCAAACUAGAGUGCUGCAGGGGAGACUGGAAUUCCUGGUGUAGCGGUGAAAUGCGCAGAUAUCAGGAAGAACACCCGUGGCUAAGGCGGCUCUCUAGUACGGUACUGACGCUGAGACGCGAAAGCGUGGGGAGCGAACAGG